CGUGCCUGUCACUCAGCGGAGCGCGGGACUCCGCGCGCCCUGUGCGUGCGCGGGUCGCGUCGGUCAGUGACCAGGCACUGCGCCUGCUCGGAGCCCUCGCGUGGGCGCAGCGGGCGCGGGCGCAGGCGCAGGCGUGCGGCCUUUAUAAAAAGUGCGCGUCACGCCAGAUCGUGCACUUGAGACUCCACGUGGCUUCUGGCGCGUGUGGAGCAGGGCUCCUUCAGGUUCUUUCCGUGUGCGAGGUGUGGCCCCACAGCUUGUCAGUGCCCUGGGCCGGGCUCAUGGCCUGGGGGUGCUGGCUGUCCACGUGACUGUGAUACGCCCGAACCAGGGAUCUGUCUAGCUCCCGACAAGUCUCCAGGGGAAGCCAUUGUUUGAAUGCCUACGAUGGAAUAGCCUGGCCUCUGAUAACCAGGUGUAGAAGAUAUGCUCUUCAGGGCACAAUUCAGAAACAAAGUCAACUUUCUCACCAGUCUUUUCUAAAUCUGAGUUGGAAAAAAUAUUGACCUCCUGAAAGGAGUCAUGAGGAGGAGACCACACAGAAGUUCAGACCUUUUGAUUUUCUUCUUCAGUUUUGGCAACCAUGAAGGGACCCAGAGCAGACAUGUCUGAACUCUACAAUAAUCCAGAGUCUUGGUAUCAGCAAGGUUCCUUUGUGCCCAUCCACCUCCUCAGCAAGUCCAGA